UGGGAGGCGGGAUCUUUGGGAGCGCGGGGAACGCUGGGAGCCGGGCGGUGACUUCUGAACGUGCCAAAGCCGCCGGCUCGGAAGAAAUCCCCCUCCUCCAGGUUCAUAAUGUAUUGUACAAAUUGAAUACCAGAUGAUGAAUUGACAUUAGCUUCUCUGGGCUUGGGAAUUUAACAGAUGAGGGCUAAAAAGAUGUCCUGUGAUCCAUAUUCAACCCUGUUGAAUGGAGAAACAAGAUGGAAGGACCCUGUAUGACUGCAUGGAGCAGCCUGGAACUCAGACACUAAAUUAAGAAAUGAAUUUCUGGGGAAUGAAUUUCUGAGC